AAUCGAAAGCUAUCUUUUUGUUAUUGUGUUGUGGUGGUGUUGGACACCUGCAUUCCUGCCUGUUGGUAUUUGGUAAUAACCGAAGAAAAGAAACUUGAGAUUGCUUGAUCUUCGUAUGACGGUUUUAUGCAGUAUUUCUUAUUUAGACUGAUGUGAAAUAGAGAGGACACCGACAGUCAUUUUAAUUCUAUAAGAUUCAAUUUUGUUGGACACAAAGUGCAUUACCAAAUUUAUUUGAGUUGAAUGUUAGAUUGUGUUGGGUUUUAAUGAGGAAAUUGGUGGCUCAUAACUACAACUAUUUAUUACCUUGAAUCCCCAACAACUCUGACAGAAUCAGUAUAUUUUUUUGCACAUCUACUGCUUCAUGACAAUGUGUUACCAUAAUUAUUGCUCAUUUUUUUUCUCUUAACUACAAAAUUCUUAAUUUUUUAAUUAACAGAUUAGCAAGAACCAAUAAAUAUUGAAUGUUUUACAUCAAAUAUUAAUGCAAAUAUUUCAAAAAGGAUGUUAAACCUGUCCAACCCGACUGGGAAUGCAUAGCAUACUUCAGUUUUAUUCAAUCUCGAGAGGCCUAUAGGUCUGACUCCAUUUCAGAUUUACCCAUCCUGCAACUGAAUAACAACUAACAGGCAAUGAGACAGCAAUUAGGCUAUCAAUCACUGGGAGUUCAGAUUGCAAAAUGGAACUUUUUUGUACAGAUGUUGAAACCGAAUUAAGUUAGCCUAUUUACGAAAAGCUUGCAAUAUUACAAGAACAUUUAAGUUUUAAUUAAUGUUAAAAACCACCAGUGCUGGUAUCACGUCGCCUUUCUACAACCGGCACGAUGACCAGCAUUACUUUGAUAGACUAAGUCGUUUACGAAGUUAAAAAAAAACUACUUCGGCGAAAGUACCAACGAUCACCAGUCAAAAACAGAAACGACGACGACUCACGAAUUAAUCCAAUUUAUCAUGGCAUUGAUGUCGGUCUUUGAGGAACGACAACCGGUAGCAGCAACAGCGGCCCAAUCCUUAAAAGUGUUCUCCAGGUCAACUGCAACUGCCGUCAACUUAUUCGCCCGCUAAGUACGGCGCCGAUUAUUUGUUUGGCCGUUUGCAUCGCAUCGGACUUGAACAUCACCGCAAUGAACCGAAACAAGGGUGCUUUUUUUCUUGCCGAAGAUAUCCUACCGGGAAAUAAGGAGUGUUUUAUCAGAGUGGUCCUAGUUCGUUCCCAGUCAAUCCAGUUGAACAAAUUGCGUUGCAACCGACAACUUGUGGUUAUUCCGUGGAAGUGGUUAUUCUGAUUUGGAAUUCGAUAAAGUGCCGUCGAGUUUGAUCGAAUCAUUCGUUUCGGCUGAAGAAGAUCUCGGUUCCUGAUCUCGGAUGACCUGGAUCAGCUCGCGUAUUUCGUCCAGGAGCUACACGCCUGCCUGAACAGGCUAUAAAAUUGCAUCCUUCAAGCGAGCCUUCAAGUUGCUCUGCCGAACUUGACUGCUGUCUAGCAAAUAAUGUUCGUUCAUUUCGUUACUCCGCUGCCAUUGCCACAUCAUAGCAACCCAAACAAGGUAGACACAAAUUAUACCUGUAUCUUACAGUGAAUAUAAAUAUUUUUGCGACUCCAUUUAUUCUCGGGAGAAGUGGCUAUGGACGGAGAAUUCGGUUGUCAAAUUUAGUGUAAGUUCAGCACCAUACCACUUCCUAUAUUGCCCUUCAAUGCGUUAUUUAAAGUUGAAUUCACAGAGUGCGAUCAGAAAUUCUUUCAGGAAACCACAGAUUUCUUUAAUCAUCAGCAUUCAAAACCAAAAAGAAUCAUUCCAGAUUUUUUUUUAAAUUAAAAAUAAAAGAGGCAUUGUACGAAACCAGUUUGACAAUAGGUGGAAGCCGUAAUAGCUCUUUCUCACUGGAAUUGAAAUGAAAUACGGUGGUUUGUAUACGGCAGAACCCACAAUUAAUCAGCGGUUAAAAUAUUUCUGUUUAUAAAUUAAUUGAAAUCUACUUCACGUGUGGUCGACAUCUUAUUACAACAUUUUCCCCAAUAGAAACGGAAAUAUUUAACCAGAAAGUACUCCACAGACCACAUCCUUUGAAGGCUAUCGAUUGCCAAUGGGAUACAUCUAAGGAGUGUGCACACGUAUUAAAGGAUCACGUUGCCGUUUCAGUUAGACACUUCGACAAUUGCACCAGUACGCCCUACUAAUACUGAACACUGAAGCACCAAAAUUAAAUUUUUUCGAUUAUUUCUUUACGAUUGUAGAAUGGAGAAAAUGAUUAAAGUAUUGAUUUCGGUAUUCGUCGUAGCAGUCUUACUUGAAACAACAUUGGCCUGUGAGUGCGAUUACAAACGCGUUUACGAGGGUCACAACGGUAACAAGGUCAGCGGCUGCUAUAUGGUGAGGCCAGCAAGUCAAGGCACGGCUUGUCAGUGCCGUUAUGUCGGAUAUGCCUUCAUAUGCAAAGGUCAUCAAGUUGGUUGCCAGAACCCCAAUCACUAUCUGUGUCGUUAUCCCGAUACGUCAAAAGAGGCAUGCAUUUUCGCCAAUGGAGACUGCGGUGGUUAUUAAUCCACCUUAUAAUCGGACUAAUUUCCGAGCGUUGUGAUCAUUCCGAAUUUUUAUUACCACAUUAAUCAACUUAUCCACACACACUGAUUAGAAAAUAGAUACUCUCAGCAGUCAAAUUUUUCAUUUGGUCAUAAUCUUUCUGUCCCAAUAUACAACAAACAUUAGUUCACUUUCCCAGUUAGUUAUUUGAGUUACAGCUGUUACUAUUGACGUCAAUAUUGUGUUUAACAUUUAUUAAUAAUAGCUUACACGGUUACACCCGAGCGCCACUCGACAGAGAAUAGCAGAGUUUUGACUAGUGAGUACAACUUAUGCUUAGUAAUCUGUAAAUAACAUGUUGAAAAAUGGAAUUAUUUUUUUCGGAAUUUUGAGGAAUACAGAGUAGACUUUUAUAAAUAUUAAUUAUGCACUCUGUAAUCCUCUCAUAUUGUUACAUAUCAAAUUGAGGUUGAAUUUAGUUCGUAAAAACCGGCAAAAACAACGAAACUAGAAACACAGAGGGAAAUAUAACUCGACAUAUAACAAAGCAAAUUUAUAACAAAGACAACUAUUUGAGCCAAGCAAAAUAUUUUAAAAAUUCGUUCGAAACUUGUAAAGUUGUAAGACUGAAGUCCUUCCCUUCGUGUACAAGGAUGCACUUUUAGAUGUUUUUCGACCCCUAAAAUAUUCAAAAAUGGCAUAGAAAAUAAAAAUAACAUUUUUAUAACAAAGCAAAAAUUUUGUUGCUGAAUCAAUAAGAAUCUAAACAGUUAUUAAUUAUUAACGCCGUCAAGCUUGAUAAAUUGGCAGCAACGCUUCCUGUGGUUAUGACGAAAGUUUGUCUGCUCGUUCUGUCUCGUUGGCACUCGGCCGUGACAUCGGCGAGUCGUCACUGUCACGUAACUGUCGUUAAUAGUUAUUAGUCAUUAGGCCAACGACUGCGAGGCUGCUAUCUGCUGCUAUCUUAUCAUAGUGUUAAAUAAAAAUUUUAGCCACUGAACUGGUUGAUUGUAGUGAGUAAUGAGGAAUUGGAAAAUAAAUCCAUUAACGAAAUAGUUAUACAUCGUAAUAUCUGUGACUUGACUUGCCUGUGUUAUCUACAUGCCCCGCCCCCUCACACGUGGUUGAAUCAAAGCAGUCAAGUCAGGAAGUGCUAAAAAAAAGUCCAUAGGAUUCCCAGAUCUCAUUGGUGCACAAAACAAGGCAGUGAUUGUUGCACCUACAUUGAAUAUUCACCCUCUCUGUGCUGAAAAAUAGUGCCACGAGAAGAUUUUGAUCUAGGUGUAUUGUUAUCAGGCCAAAACAUUACCAUAUCACACCGUUUAUCUCAAAUAUAACAGCAACAAAUAUUAACUUUCAUGUACAUUUCACUACCGAAAGUCAUCUCUGCUUGUGAAAAAUCCUAUGCUGGUGAAGAUCAAAUACCUGAAAUAGUGAACUUCAGCUAUACCUACCUAUGUGAAUACCAGCCAUACCAGAUGCUAUAUUUUCCCUGAAGGCCUGAAAUAACAAGAACACAAAAACAAAUCUCUUCUAGAGAAAAAUUUUCGCUAGUGAGAGAAGAAGGCUGACAGGUAGCCCAGUUUUUGCCUGCCCGUUUGACGGGUUGUCCAUCAGGUAAACCUCCAGUGUGAUUCUUCCACCGGUCAGUGCCAAUUGAAACAAAAUGUUGCCAAUCAUAAAUACGAUCGCUGCUGUGGUUCCAGAUGUAAUUUCUGACGCCGUUGUUUACAAUCGACUCCCAGAUGAUAAAAAUGCUUACUUUGACUCGCUGACUGAACUUACUUUACCACUUAUAUCGGUAUGUAUAUUAUAAACAGCAUCCCGUUUGGAAUGGAGAAACUUUGGAUGUCGGUCGAGUUACGGAUUUCUUUCCUCCCAUAAUUUUCAAAAUGUCCUCGUAUACGCCCAUGUGAAUGUGGGUGUAUUCACGAGGACACCAUUUAUACCCUAUCCUGUCUGGUGUAAUUUCAUUCUUCAGCGGAUGGAUGGAGCAACUGUAGAUGCCUGGCUGCAUUUCCCAGGCGCCAAGAGUUCUACCUCGUAAAGAACCAAACAAGUUAUAGCGGUACGCGCGUAUUUGAAAUUUGAAUGACACAACAAGUUAAAAAUAUGAAAUUUUAAAUGAAAUUUUAUUCCGAUUGAAAAAGAGAAAAAUCAAAGCAUGAAUAUAAGACAUUGAACCAGCCUUACAAUCGAUAAUGGCCAACUUGCUCGGCCGCUAUCUCCAGCGCAAUGCACGUCAAGAACUGGUGGACUCAUUUGAGGGUAAUGAAACCCCCCGUCAAGGUAGUCAACUGCUGGACACCGACGGAGGAGUGAAGGUGACCUAGUCCUUUUACUGUAGAGGUUUUGUGAUGGGUCGACACUUUCGUGUUUUCCUAUUAACAAUUCAACUCGUACAGUGCCAAGGAUUCGGUAGUCCACACUCUUAAACACCAGUGCACUGCAGCAACUCCGUUGACGGGUUCAUCCACCGAUUCUUUCGGAUUGUCAGCAUUAUUCAUCAUUGAACUUAAAUAAAAAAAAAAAAAAAGAAGACAGCUACCGGGAUCCGGCUUGCAGUAGUUUUUGGUACACUGUCCGGCACCUGUCUAAAGUCCCCGAAAUGGUAAGGAAUUGGUUUUGUGGAGAUGGACGAGAAAUGCGCACGUUGUGAUGUAAAUUUAAUUUUUUAAAGUAAGUGGUUGAGUAAACCUUCUUUGUGUGAUCAAGAUUCCGGCAUUCGAUCGUUACUGGUAGAUUCUCAAUCACGUCGCUACAGGCGGCCCUGCGUCCCUCAGCAUCUCCGUCGAAAAUAUAGAAAUUUUCCUCGAAAAAACUUAACUUCACUCCAUACUCCUCUUGCAAUCUCUUAAUGUUGGAUCCAGCUCGUCCGAUGACUCGUCCGCAGUCAGAUCUUGGUAUUCCAGUCACAACAAUCUCGUAGUAGUUUACUUCUUCUGUCACGGAUGACAAAAUCACAAAAUCGGGUGACGCAGUCGAAGAAGGCUUUUCCGUUGGCUGUUUAACUUCUUUUUCAGCUAUUACGAGGCCUCUUGGAGACUUUUCUGCAGAGUCUGUUUGACCUGUUUUAGUAAUUUUAGUGACCUCCGUUGGGGGUGAAAUCGUCUGGGUGGUUUGUUUAUUCUUUGAUUUACUAGCAGCCGACGGCCCGAGUUGUUCUUUUUUCUUGUCUGUGACAAUCAAUUGAUCGCUUAAAGGAAGACUCGGACUCUCGGACAUGAUAAUCGAAUCUAUACCGUCGACACUCGUCACCGUGUACCCACUUAUUGGUUUGUUGUGGUAACGGACAUCACUAGAUGCGAAUUGUACUUUUGAUUUGGCAGGGGCGGCUGGAACAGGUGGUUCGGUUUGGUCACGUUCCGUGAUGAAAAAAGGCCUGAAGGGCAGUUGCUUUGAAACGCCGUUCAUAAAUUCCAGAUCCAUUUCGAAGCCGCAUGUUUCGUCACUAGUGAUUACUUUUUGUUCCUUAUAGAAAUGUACAUAGAUCCAAGUUGCUUUGAAAACGUGAAUCAUUUGCAUGUCUAGCUCAAAACCACAUGUGUCGUCACAGGUCACUUCGGUAGUCAGUAGAGUUUUGCCCUGGACUUGCUGAGACUGUGCAAAGUCUUCGUCCAAGACAUCCGGCCACAGAUUUUCAAAGAAAUGCUACAGUACAUUUACUCCGGCCAGACUAUGGCUCCUUUGACGGACGCCAUCGCUCAACCUCUGUUCGUACUUUCAGUCAAAUACGAUAUCGAGGACCUUAAAGAAAAGUGUGUCCAUUAUCUACUGAAAAGCAUCCGGACGAGUAAUGCAGUUGACUUGUUGGUCUGGGCAAAUCUUCAUUCGGUGGAUAAAAUCCAAGAAUCAACUCUUGACUUUGUGGCCAUAAAUUUCAAAAUCAUUUGUCAGUCGAAUGAAUGGGAGAACUUGAUGAAGAACUAUCCGGACUCAAGAGCUUGGAUUCCUGGUGGCUCGACGUUAUGUAGCUCUUUAAGAGAUACGCCAGCCAAAGAGUUCUGUAUAACUUUAAAUGCGGUUUCAGCGUCACCGCCAAUAUCCACAAUUCCACAUGAGUUCACGAUCCUUGCAACAACAACACGUACAGCAUGAUACUGGACACUUAAGCAAGGUAUUGGCCUUACUCUGAAUCAUUAGAUUUCUAAGGUAAUUAGAAAUUCCAUUCAACUUUUAUUCUUCCACGGUUGACUGCUUCGUGCAGAUUUGCUUUUUAUCAGCACGGUCAGCUAGUGUGGCAUCCGUGAAUAGUGAUUUUGACGAAAUCUUUUUUUUUUGUGGUUCUUAUUGCCAAUCGAUAAUACGCUGUAAGUGAAUCACAUUUUAUUCUUGAGAAAUUAACAGUAUCUUUUGUACGAAGUGUGAUGGUAACCAGUGACGUAGUUGUCCAUUUAGUCCAGUAUUAACAUUUUUACAACUUUUGAGAACUUAUUGACCCAGAUUCAGAAAAGAGGUUUCUAACAAGGCUCAACUGUGUGCACAUCAUUAAAUGA